rnacentral:rRNA from 1 species
UACAGAGGUCCCAAGCGUUGUUCGGAUUCAUUGGGCGUAAAGGGUGCGUAGGUGGCAUGGUAAGUCGGGUGUGAAAUCCCGGGGCUCAACCCCGGAACUGCACUCGAUACUACCGUGCUCGAGUACUGGAGAGGAGACUGGAAUUUACGGUGUAGCAGUGAAAUGCGUAAAUAUCGUAAGGAAGACCGGUGGCGAAGGCUAGUCUCUGGACAGUUACUGACACUGAGGCACGAAGGCCAGGGGAGCAAACGGG